AAUCUUGGACAAUGGGGGAAACCCUGAUCUCGCAAUGCCGCGUGCAGUAUGAAGGCCAUCGGGAUGUAAACUGCUUUUGUCCGUAACGAAAAUGCUUGGGCUAAUCCCCUGGGAUCAUGACGGUACCGUAAGAUUAAGCACCGGCGAACGACGUGCCAGCAGCCGCGGUAAUACGUAGGGACCAAGCUGUAAUCAGAAGUACUGGGCGUACAGCGUGCGCAGGUGGUUUUGUAAGACAGUGGUGAAAUCCCCGGGCUCAACCUGGGAACUAACAUUGUGACUGCAAGGCUGGAGUGCGGCAGAGGGGGAUGGAAUUCCGCGUGUAGCAGUGAAAUGCGUAGAUAUGCGGAGGAACACCGAUGGCGAAGGCAAUCCCCUGGGCCUGCACUGACGGUCAUGCACGAAAGCGUGGGGAGCAAACAGG
rnacentral:rRNA from 1 species